rnacentral:rRNA from 1 species
AACGAACGCUGGCGGCAUGCCUAACACAUGCAAGUCGAACGAGACCUUCGGGUCUAGUGGCGCACGGGUGCGUAACGCGUGGGAACCUGCCCUUAGGUUCGGAAUAACUCCCCGAAAGGGGUGCUAAUACCGGAUAAUGUCUUCGGACCAAAGAUUUAUCGCCUUUGGAUGGGCCCGCGUUGGAUUAGCUAGUUGGUAGGGUAAAAGCCUACCAAGGCGACGAUCCAUAGCUGGUCUGAGAGGAUGAUCAGCCACACUGGGACUGAGACACGCCCAGACUCCUACGGGAGGCAGCAGUGGGGAAUAUUGGACAAUGGGCGAAAGCCUGAUCCAGCAAUGCCGCGUGAGUGAUGAAGGCCUUAGGGUUGUAAAGCUCUUUUACCCGGGAUGAUAAUGACAGUACCGGGAGAAUAAGCUCCGGCUAACUCCGUG